GACCCGCUGCCUCCCUUCACCUUUGAGAGAAACAGUCUUGAUGAGUUGGAGUUCAGGAUGAACCUGACGAAACCCAUUGGCUGUAUUCAGUACAAGCUGCCUCUGUAUGAGGGAGAGGACCCUGGUAUGUUCCUCACAGGGUGGAGGCAUGUCAUCUACAUCCAUUUCCUGCCUGGGAAGGAGUCUGCCAUUGCCUACUUCAGGGGCAACAUGAACUAUCAGUACUACCAGCUGCUGCUGCUCAUGGGCCGCACCCUGAGACCUAACCCAGAUGCUGAGAGGAUCUUCAAGGAGUCUGUGAUGAGUAUAAUGCCCCAAACUGGAAGGAUAAUUACCCCUCCCCAUGCUGAAGCCUGUGUGUUUGUCCUAGACCCCCAGUGCACUAAGGGAGUGCUGCAGUAUCCAUGCAGAAAGCAGGAGAUGGGACCUGGCUGACCCAGAGGUGCAGACACCCACAUGUAGAACUCUCAGUGUCAAAGAGCACAGGGCCUAACACCCACUCCUCCCCCAAGUCUGCAUUCAAUAAAUUCGGUGGAUAUCACUCAA
ensembl:antisense